rnacentral:rRNA from 1 species
GACGAAACGCUGGCGGCGUGCUUAACACAUGCAAGUCGAGCGGGGACAUGGAACGGAAGGUUUCGGCCGGAAGGAUCAUGUUCUAGCGGCGGACGGGUGAGUAAACGCGUGAACAAUCUGUCCCAGACAGGGGGAUAACACUUGGAAACAGGUGCUAAUACCGCAUAAGACCACGAGGAGACAUCUCCAUGGGGUAAAAGGAGCAAUCCGGUUUGGGGUGAGUUCGCGUCCGAUUAGCUAGUUGGCGAGGUAACGGCCCACCAAGGCGACGAUCGGUAGCCGACCUGAGAGGGUGAUCGGCCACAUUGGAACUGAGAGACGGUCCAAACUCCUACGGGAGGCAGCAGUGGGGAAUAUUGGGCAAUGGGCGAAAGCCUGACCCAGCAACGCCGCGUGAGGGAAGAAGGUUUUUCGGAAUUGUAAACCUCUGUCCUCAAGGACGAAGGAAGUGACGGUACUUGAGGAGGAAGCCCCCGGCUAACUACGUGCCAGCAGCCGCCGCAGUAAG